CCACCAAAUUCCAGAAACAUCCCACAAAAUGUCCUCAAUACCCAAUGUUUUCUGCUGCACUGUUUGUCAUAAACAAAAUGAAGAUUUAAAAAAAGCCCCACAACCUUAAUAGCCUUUUGCAGAAAUGAGGCAGACCCAGCAAUCUUGAAGCAGUCAUUGCUUCAGUCUUUCUAUAACUCUGAAGACAACUAAAUGAACACAGAAAUCAGAGCUCUCACACACCCUACAGCCAACAGCUCCCAAAAUUAUUAAAACCCUUAUUGAUUCAGUUUAUUGCAGAUGCUGUCCUGAAGCAGAAAAGGUGAUUCUGCACUUCCUUAGUCCUUUUCCCUUGGACUGAGGUUUGGUUUGGCCUUGUGUGGUCCUGCUGAAGAGCAACAGAGAGCAGUGACAAGGCUUCCUUCACCCUGGGAUUAUAAAAUCUUGUUGUUUGGGCAGAGACAAAUCUCUCCCUGGCUACAGCCUCCUGACAGCUACAGGGGCCAGGACCAGGUGUCCCCUGAGUCUCACUGAGUACUUGGUUUAUGCAAAACAUUGGGGCUCAUUCCAUUUGCUGAGAAGAAGAGCCAAAGAUGACACACCUUGGGCACCGUCCCCUCCUCACCCCAAAGUGCCCCCCAGGACGGCCUGUGGCUCAUCAAGUAACAUUUCUGCAAUCAGGCAUCGCCAAAAGUGUUUCUAACAACACAUUCCAUCACUUCUUGUCACUUUUUAUUCAGUGCAAGCAUGGAAAUGUCUGAGAUAGACAAUGGAAAGCAAUACAUAAAAUCCAAGACAAGCGAUCAUAAAUGGCCCUGCUGGGAAAGCAGAUCCCACGGAAUUGGAUGGAGGUGGAAGGUCACUCCUAACACAUUAAAUACAACAGCCAAAGCAGAUCCUGAUGUCACCCUGAUACUGAGAUGGAAAAGUCACCUGCUUAAAAUCAUUGAAAAGGAAAAGAAGGAGCAGGAGGACAGGUGGGUAGGUGUGUUGGUAACUCUGUUAAACACAGUUUAAAAAACCCCAAAACGCAGUAGUUAUUAACCAGAUAUUUGAGGAGGCACAGCCACAGCUCUCUGCAGAACAUUUACAAAGUGCUUGACAAAUGGAAAGCUGGAUCUUUUUCAGCAAGUGCCGUGGGUGCUGUGCACCCAGACCUGGAGCACCAGGGCCAUCCAUCUGCCUCAGGAGUCCUGCUUUCAUCCUUGGAGUGUGCAUCCUUCCAUCCUCCAGUGUGCACCGGCACUUCAGAUUGAGGUGCAGACCGGCUCCAGACGCUGCACAUGGAAGGCAAGGAGAGCUGGGAGCCGAGAGAGGAGCGGUUUCUCCUGGAACACCGGGAGCCCUUCCAUGGCAGCAGCUCAUUCCCAGCCCCUGCCCCACUCUCUGCUCCCAAAGGUCACCGGGAACUCGCCCAAGGCCCGGGGGGCUCGGCAGGGCUUUCCCACCUGGGCCGAGUGCCACAGGAGGGGCCCCUGCAGGAUUUCUGUCUCGGUCGGGUUCCAGCAGCUCAGACUGGCUCCUGCAUCCAGCAGGGAUUGGGUGGGGAUUUGGUUGGGGCUUUUUGUUUGCUGGUUUGGCUUUUAGUUAUUUAGAGAGUGCUUUGAGGGUCAGUUUUGCUGCUUCAUCAGCUUUACCCCCUGCCCAGCUGCCUGUUGUGUGCAUGGAAGGGUUCAAUCUGCAUUUCGCUUCUUCUGCACCCCUACUUUAUUAUUUUAGGCUCUUUAUUUUCAUUUUUCUCUUUUCCUUUUGACUGUUUUUUCCCCCUUUCAUUCCCCCUUUUUUAAUAUUUAUUUUCUGCCGUGGGUUUUUUUCCCCCCCCCUCUUCUCUCACGUGACCUCGGUGCUUUCCUGUCUUUUUGUAAAUUUUUCUUUUUUCUUUUUUUUUUUUUUUUUUUUUUUUUUUUAAUCUUCUCCUGAUCAGAAGCCCCUGGGGCAGCUGCACAGCCGGGGCCACUCCUGGCUGUCAGAGAAGCCGGGAGCUGACUGCUCUACGGGAUUUGUUUGCUCCCAGGUCUGCGGCUCGGGGCUCUCUCUCAUCGUGUUUUAUCAAAUAAAGUUCGUGUGGCAUUC